rnacentral:misc_RNA from 1 species
UAAACCUUAAUUCCAAACUAGUUAAGAGUCCACUACAUCGAUAAUUUUUUGUCAUUUAACUUUGUUUGAGACCAAUUCCGCAUCAUUAUUGAUUUUAGAAUAAUAAUUAAUUUAAAAGUUAUUUUCUUUCCUCCGCCCACCCGUCUUUCUUGUUGAGCCCAUUGCUAUUCAAUAAACCCUAAAAUAAAUGAGGAGAUCUCAUUCACCAGAACCAUCUUCCUGUUGACCUCACCCCAUCAAAUGGCUGUCAAACUCUUUACCAUAUGCAAUACAAGAAAAGAGGUCCAAAUCUUUGGACAAUCUUUUUAAUCAAACUUUAGUUUCUUCUUCUAAGCUCAUCUCUUUUCUCUUUUUGCUUCUUUCCACCACCCCUACAUAGAGGUAAGCACCAUUUCGUUUAUAACCGUUAAUCCAUCAAAACAAAUCAAUUUUAACACUUCAAUUUGAUUUAUUUCUAUAAACAGUUUGGUUUGGUUCAUCAAAAUAAAAAUAAAAAUAAAAAGAAAAAAAUUACAAAAAAAAUUAUCAUGUGGUUUCACAAUAUUCACUUCAAGGUCUAAAAUUCACUGUGACAAACCGCGGCAUUUUGUCUAACUCCAUUUUUUUGCUCGAGUGGCAUUAAAAUAACAUUUUUAAUCAUUUUUAAUUUUUUUAAUAAUAAAAUUUUUUUUUAAAAAAAGAGAAAAAUGCAUAACUAAAACUAAUAGAAGAGGAGACAACAAAGCGGGUAGAAGAAGCUAUUCAGAGGAAAGUUGAAAAGCACUUAAAUUGUGAGGAGAUCAGGCAGGAAGGAAAAGACUUCCUGAAGAAGUUGCCAUUCAACUUGAAAAAGAAAAAGAAACUGCUCUUAUUGAGGCUAGAAGAAAAGAACAAGCUCGAAACGUGAAAGAAGAGUUGAAAAAAAUGCUUGAAGAGAACCAGGGAGAGAAGGCACUGUAUUAGAGGGAGAGAGAGGAAAAAAAACACUACAAUGUAAAGAAAAGAGGACCUGAGAGUGGCUUGGCAAAUGAAGGGAUUGG